UGUCAGAGGCAGCUGGCUGCACAAGGCACAGCCUGAUGUGCUGCUUCACUGCCACUGAGGGUUCACUGCUGGCAGCCUCUGACAGUGCUGGCUGUACCAGGGGGUGAAUAGAGCAGUAGCACGUGGAAAGAAGUCUUGCCUUGGCACUAAAUUCCAAAUGACCCAGUGAAGCUGAUACCCAGCUGUUACAGGAUUUGAAACCUGCUCAGCAGAGUGCUUGCUCUUCAGGAAAUAAACCCAAAGGACAAGAGGACAUGAGCUCAAUGCGUGGACUCUCAGGUGGUUGGCUGAUUUGUGCAGAACAAGGAAACCUGCAUCUUCUACAAGAUGUGUCAGAAGGUAAAUCCCACAGUCUGGAAUAACUUCAUCCAUAUUUAUCUCGUUCUUUUACACCCUCUACUCUCAAAUUAUUCUGUAAUAUAAACAGGUCUUGCCAGUACAAAUUACUGUCUGAACAACAACCGGUAUUUUCUCAAAACUAUGUAUUUCAGAGAAAAAAAUAAACAAAUAGUCUUUGUACAUUAACUACAACUGAGGAAGAAGCAACCACUUUUCUAGAAGCUUCUAGUCAUUAUGCACCAGAGGAGCAAUUUGUUGAUACCAAACAUUGCUAUUUUCUGUUGUACUGCCACUCACAAAUGUGAUUUUUAAGUGGUUUACAAAAUUAUUGCUGUGGAGGGCUCCAAAGUACACGUUUGACAAAUAUAGAUGGUAAUUAGACACAGUGUUAAGGACUGGAGGCAAAUGUUCAUCUGUAGAUGUACUGGGGAUAUGGUGUCCUCCAGAGAAGCAGCCUCCAAACUAGAGAUUGCAAUUUCACUUCAAAGUACAAGUGGAAUCAUAACCAGAAGUUUUGCUCUUGGCAUUGCUACAAGCCAAGUAAAUGAUCAGUUGCAUAACAGUGGUUAUACCAGUCACUGCAACACAAUUUUUCCUUAUUUUUGUCCCUCCCAAUGCGAGAUAAUUUUGUAAUUAUAUGAAAAGAAAGAACAAACUCUUCAAAAUGUAUGACAAAAAAUGCACUGUGUCUUCAUUUGUUCUUUGUGUAUAUUACCUCUUCCUCUUUGCAGUUCUAUGAGCUUACUGUUUUAAGUAAAUACUUCCCAAGGCACAGAAACAAAUAAA